UGCCCCAUGGCUGAGUUGGUUACAGCGUCCGACUGUUAUGAUCAAGGAAUGAUUUAAUGGACUGUCCAUAAGUAAAGUAACAUCGGAAGGUCGUGAGUUCGAAACUCACUGGGGCAG